AGGGUGGGCACCGAAAGUAGAAAGUAAAAUUGGUUGGCAAGUUGGGUUAAAAGUUGGCAUGAGAUAAUUGCAAUUUUGGUCCCUAAUUGUAUAGGGACAUUGCAAGUUGAUCCUUGAACCUCAACUAUAAAUAGGCCUAACCAUUUCUUACUUUCUUCAUCCCAUAAUUGCCAUUCUCUACUUAAGGCAUUAUUCUCUCUCUCUAUUUGUAAAUUUCACUUGUAAUUUUUGGAGUGAAAUAUAUUUGGUAGUGCCCGAGGACGUAGGCAAAAUUUGCUGAACCUCGUUAAAAUUCUGGUGUUCUUUAUUAUUUGUUUUGCAUAUUUUGUGAAUGUGAUUGUAGUGAUUUAUUGUGCUAUUAAAUUACGAUAGAGGGAUAUUCUGGCUAGGAAAGAUCUGGUAUGUAAGCGAUCCUCGUGAUCCACCUCUCUUUCCUGGGAAUUGAACUUAGUGUGAUUUUUCAGUACAAUAAUUUUACUCUUUCACACGCUUCCGCGCAACAAUUGGUACCAGAGCCAGGUUCGUACUUGGGGAAUACGACCGUUUACGAUACUAUUCAUGUAUACGGCACUAUUUACGUAUACGGUACUAUCCACAUAUACGGCACUAUUCACGUAUACGGUACUGUUCACGUAUACAGUAGUUGGGAUUGAGGAGAAAAAUGGCAGCAGCAUCGUCAUCAGCAAGGACUACUGUGACAAAUGCAAAAUUUGAAGUAGAGAAAUUUGACGGUACCAAUAAUUUUGGUAUGUGGCAAUGUGAGAUCCUGGAUGUCUUAUGUCAGCAAGAGCUAGAUAUAGCCCUUGAAGAAAAACCUGACAAGAUGGAUGACAAGGAGUGGGCCAAGAUCAAUAGACAGGCGUGUGGUACAAUCUGCCUAUGUUUGGCCAAAGAGCAGAAGUACUCUGUCAUGAGGGAGACAUCAGCAAAGAAGUUAUGGGAUACACUGGAAGAAAAGUUUCUAACGAAAAGUCUUGAAAAUAGGUUUUAUAUGAAAAAGAAACUUUAUCGAUUCACGUAUGCACCCGGUAUGUCGAUGAAUGACCAUGUGAACUCAUUCAAUAAAUUUUUAGCAGACUUGCUAAAUUUGGAUGAGAAAUUUGAAGAUGAAGACAAGGCAUUAUUGUUGUUGAAUUCCCUUCCUGAUGAAUAUGAUCAUCUUACCACCACAUUGCUUCAUGGGAAGGACACGAUCACAUUUGAUGCAGUCUGUAGUGCGUUGUAUAGAUCUGAGACUCGAAAGAAAGAUAAAAGAGAUCACAGAGAUACAACCGCAGAAGUCUUAAUAGUAAGAGGUCGUUCACACAGCAGCAAAUCUGGUAGAAGGGUAAAGUCCAAAGGGAGACCCGCCAAAGAUGAAUGUGCCUUUUGCCGUGAAAAAGGGCAUUGGAAAAAGAAUUGUCCUAAGCUACAAAAGGGCAAGGCUAUUUCUAAUACAUGUGUAGCGGAGCAUGAUGAGGAGUCAGACUUUAGCUUGGUUGGCAUGGCAAUGGCAUGUCAAACGGAUGAGUGGAUUUUGGAUUCAGGAUGUACUUACCAUAUGUGUCCUAAUAAGGACUGGUUUUCUAGUCUUAAAGAGCUAGAAGGUGGAAUUGUUCUUAUGGGCAAUGAUAGUGCUUGUAAGACAAUGGGAGUGGGUACAGUCCAAUUGAAGAAUCACGACGGCUCAAUCCAAGUCUUGACAGAUGUUCGCUACGUACCUAGCCUGAAGAAAAAUCUCAUCUCAUUAGGUGCCCUAGAAUCUAAAGGGCUCACAAUCACUUUGAGAGAUGGAUUACUAAAAGUAGUAGCUGGGCAACUGACGGUGAUGAAAGGCACAAGAAGAAAUAACUUGUAUUUUUUAAAUAGAAGUACAGUUAUUGGAUCAACAUCAACAGUUUCUACAAAAGAUGUAGAUUCAGAGGCUACCAGAUUAUGGCAUAUGCGAUUGGGACAUGCUGGUGAAAAAGCUUUGCAGACAUUGGUGAAGCAAGGCUUAUUGAAAGGUGCAAAUUCUUGCAAAAUGGAAUUUUGUGAACAUUGUGUUCUGGGCAAGCAGAAGAGGGUAAAAUUUGGUCCAGCAAUUCACAAUACGAAAGGAAUUCUGGACUACGUUCACAGUGAUGUGUGGGGACCUACCAAAGUAGCUUUUUUGGGAGGUAUGCACUAUUUUGUUACUUUUGUUGAUGAUUAUUCAAGAAAAGUAUGGGUGUAUCUAAUGAAAAGAAAAAGUGAAGUUUUGGAUGCAUUUCUGAAAUGGAGGAAGAUGGUGGAGACUCAGACUGGUCGAAAGGUCAAACAACUUCGAUCAGAUAAUGGUACUGAGUACAAAAACGAUCCAUUUCUACAAGUAUGCCAAGAUGAGGGCAUUGUGCGACACUUCACUGUUCGGGAUACACCACAGCAAAAUGGGGUGGCAGAACGAAUGAAUCGAACUAUACUUGAGAAAGUUCGAUGUAUGUUGUCCAAUGCUGGAUUGGGCAAAGAAUUUUGGGCUGAGGCAGUUACAUAUGCGUGCCAUCUAAUUAACCGUUUGCCAUCAGCUGCAAUAAAUGGAAAAACUCCUAUGGAGAUGUGGACUGGUAAAUCUGCUACUGAUUAUGAUUCUUUGCAUGUAUUUGGUUCCACUGCAUAUUAUCAUGUAAAAGAAUCUAAGUUAGACCCAAGAGCAAAUAAAGCAUUAUUCUUGGGUAUAACUGAUGGAGUAAAAGGAUAUCGUCUCUGGUGUCCUGAUACAAGGAAGAUUGUUUUCAGUAGAGAUGUGACUUUUGAUGAAUCAACCAUGUUGAAGUACAAGGAUUCACAAAAGGAUGACAAAACCAGUAGUACUUUGCAGCAGGUGGAGCUUGAAAAGGUUAACGAUGAUCCAGCUAAUAUUGAAGGGACAAAUGAUGAAGAGGUUCCUACCCAAGAACCUCUACAGCAACAAGAUUUAAUUGCAUAUAGAAGGCCAAGAAGAGAGAUUCGUAAGCCUGCUCGCUUUGAUGAUAUAGUGGCCUAUGCACUUCCAAUUACAGAUGAUGAUGUUCCUUCUACUUACACAGAAGUAAUAAGUAACCCUGAUGGUGUAAAGUGGAAGCAAGCAAUGAAUGAAGAAAUGCAGUCUCUUCAUAAAAAUAAGACCUGGGAGUUGGUGACACUACCCAAGGGAAAGAAGGCAAUUGGAUGCAAAUGGGUAUAUGCAAAGAAGGAAGGAUUUCCUGAUAAAAAUGAAAUUUGAUACUAGGCUAGAUUAGUAGCAAAGGGUUACGCUCAGAAAGAAGGAAUAGACUACAAUGAAGUGUUUUCUCCAGUUGUGAAGCAUUUGUCUAUUCGGAUUUUGCUAGCCUUGGUUGCGCAAUAUGAUCUUGAACUAGUUCAGCUUGAUGUAAGGACCGCAUUUUUACACGGUGAUUUGGAAGAGGAAAUCUAUAUGACUCAGCCAGAUGGAUUCAAGGUUGCUGGAAAAGAAAAUUGGGUUUGCAAACUGACAAAGUCGCUUUAUAGAUUGAAGCAAUCUCUGAGGCAGUGGUACAAGCGAUUUGAUCAGUUCAUGAAAGGGCAAAGGUACACAAGAAGUAAAUUUGAUCAUUGCGUGUAUUUUCAGAAGCUACAAGAAGGAACUUUCAUAUACUUGCUCUUAUAUGUUGAUGAUAUGCUAAUAGCAUCUAAGAGCAAAGUUGAGAUUGAAAGAUUGAAGACUCAACUCAAUCUCGAGUUUGAGAUGAAAGAUCUAGGAGAAGCUAAAAAGAUUCUCGGCAUGGAAAUAUGGAGAGAUAGAGCUCAUGAUAGAGUUAGCUUGUCUCAGAAGCAGUAUUUGAAAAAGGUACUACAGCAGUUUGGCAUGAACGAGCAGACAAAACCUGUAAGUACCCCGUUGGCUUCUCAUUUCAAGCUUUCUGCACAACUAUCUCCUUCGACGAAUACGGAACGAGAAUACAUGUUGCAAGUUCCGUAUUCUAAUGCAGUGGGUAGCUUGAUGUAUGCAAUGGUGUGUACAAGACCCGACAUUUCACAGGCAGUUAGUAUAUUGAGCAGGUAUAUGCAUAAUCCUGGAAAAGGACAUUGGCAAGCUGUGAAAUGGAUUCUACGGUAUAUUCAGAAGACCGUGGAUGUUGGAUUACUGUUCAAGCAGGAUAAUACACUUGGUAAAGGUGUUAUUGGGUACGUUGAUUCUGACUAUGCCGGUGAUUUGGAUAAGCGAAGAUCAACCACCGGUUAUGUGUUUACACUUGCUGGAGGACCAAUAAGUUAGAAGUUUACACUACAGUCUACAGUUGCAUUGUCAACCACAGAAGCCGAGUACAUGGUUGUAACAGAGGCUGUAAAGGAGGCUAUUUGGUUACAAGGUAUGGCUAAAACCUUGGGGUUGGUUCAGGAGCAUAUUAACGUGUAUUGUGAUAGUCAAAGUGCUAUUCAUUUAGCAAAGAAUCAAGUCUAUCAUGCACGUACAAAACAUAUCGACGUACGAUUCCAUUUUGUGCGGGAAAUUAUUGAAGAGGGAAAAAUUUGUCUUCAGAAGAUCAGGACUGCAGAUAAUCCCGCAGAUAUGAUGACCAAGGUGGUAACAGCAACCAAGUUCGAACAUUGUUUGAACUUGAUUAAUAUCCUGCAAGUUUAACAGUUGAAGAAGGCACUAUCAAGUAUUGUUGUCAAAGGCAGAAAGAAUUGUGUGAAGAUAAGAUUAUCCUAAUCAAAUCUUCAAGGUGGAGAUUAUUGGAACCCACCCACAUUGUUUGAAAAGUCAAAAAGGGUGGGCACCGAAAGUAGAAAGUAAGAUUGGUUGGCAAGUUGGGUUAAAAGUUGGCAUGGGAUAAUUGCAAUUUUGGUCCCUAAUUGUAUAGGGACAUUGCAAGUUGAUCCUUAAACCUCAACUAUAAAUAGGCCUAACCAUUUCUUACUUUCUUCAUCCCACACUUGCCAUUCUCUACUUAAGGCAAUUGUUCUCUCUCCCUAUU
rnacentral:lncRNA from 1 species